rnacentral:lncRNA from 1 species
CGGGAGGCCCAGCUGUGAGCAGAGCAUCCCGGCGGAGCACGGGGCUGUGAACGGAUGGGGUGGGUGAUUGUUCCAGCUGACAGCCCGAAAGGCGAAGGAACAAGAUUUAACUUCCUGCUAUUCAAUUAGAGAAAGUGAGCAUUCAUUACCAGCUGCGGGCUGCUGGCAGGAGUGAUCCCGGAGAGGAGCUGCAGGCAGCGCCUGCUGCCACGGGCACGGUGGGAUGCACACGGAGCGCUGCCCACCGCCCGCAGGCUGGCACGUGGCAGCAGCCUGCCUUCAUCCUCCCGGCGCUGAGCUCCCUCAGCAUCUCUUCGGUGCCCCCAGGACUCCCCGAAGGGCUGUGGGGCACUCAGGGCGUGCAGAGCCCGGGGCUGUUCCUGCUCCAUUUCCUUCUCUUUCUCCCCCCCUCCUGAUGCUGAGCCGACUGCAGAAGGCGCUCGCACCGCCUCCUCGCCUGUCCCUUCCCUGCGCCAUCUGUGACAACUUCACAGCUCCGCACCGGUGCUGUUCUGCUAAGGGUCCCUUUCGUGCAUCUCUGCUACUUCUUAAUCCCGCUGUUCCUGCGGAGAUUGGGGCAGUUUUCCUUCCCGGCCGGUUGCGAUCAGCGGGGAUGCGCUGGGAGCGCUUCGCGGUGCUGCGCCGCGUGGCCGCGCCUGGCAUCGCCAUCGCUCCGCCGUAGGACAGCACCGAACCGAGCGCUGCACCGCGGGGAGGGGAACAGCCCGCAGCCACGGGCGGCAGCGCCGAGCCGGGAACGCGCCUGGCUACAGACUGCUGUGAGCAUCCCUUCCUCCGUCCUUCGGGCGGACGUGCUCCAAAACCCCGAGGUUUGGGCCGUGUCUAUGCCGAGGGCGGGGGACUCCGGGGGUGUCGGAGUGUUGGAGCGCUCGUGGAAGCACCGCCCGCGGCCGCUUCCCCUGCAGUGCCAUCCGACGGGCGGCGAUGCGGCGGGGCUGCGCGCGGAGGAACGUUUUACAGCAGAAAGCAAUUAACCGAAUAAAGCCCUUCUUAAAAUCCCA